rnacentral:rRNA from 1 species
AUACGGAGGGGGUUAGCGUUGUUCGGAAUUACUGGGCGUAAAGCGCACGUAGGCGGACUAUUAAGUCAGGGGUGAAAUCCCGGGGCUCAACCCCGGAGCUGCCCUUGAUACUGGUAGUCUAGAGUUCGAGAGAGGUGAGUGGAAUUCCGAGUGUAGAGGUGAAAUUCGUAGAUAUUCGGAGGAACACCAGUGGCGAAGGCGGCUCACUGGCUCGAUACUGACGCUGAGGUGCGAAAGUGUGGGGAGCAAACAGGAUUAGAUACCCUGGUAGUCCACACCGUAAACGAUGAAUGCCAGUCGUCAGGGGGCUUGCCCUUUGGUGACACACCUAACGGAUUAAGCAUUCCGCCUGGGGAGUACGGCCGCAAGGUUAAA